rnacentral:rRNA from 1 species
UACGUAGGGGGCAAGCGUUGUCCGGAUUUAUUGGGCGUAAAGAGCGUGUAGGCGGCCAAGCAGGUCCGCUGUGAAAACUCGAGGCUCAACCUCGAGACGUCGGUGGAAACCGUUUGGCUAGAGUCCGGAAGAGGAGAGUGGAAUUCCCGGUGUAGCGGUGAAAUGCGCAGAUAUCGGGAAGAACACCAGUGGCGAAGGCGGUUGCCUGGAGCUUUGCUGACGCUGAGGCGCGAAAGCGUGGGGAGCGAUCCGG